CCCCUCUCAGGGUCACACCUGGAGAGUUUCCAUUACUCUACCAGUCUCGAGUACGAGAGGGAGAGUCAAGCAGAGUCAUAUCCAUUCCAUUCCUAGUUUGGGCAGUGGCUAGUGAGUGGAAGGUAAUCUGCUACAAGU